rnacentral:rRNA from 1 species
AGUGGGGAAUAUUGGACAAUGGGCGCAAGCCUGAUCCAGCCAUGCCGCGUGAGUGACGAAGGUCUUCGGAUUGUAAAGCUCUUUUGCCAGGGACGAUAAUGACGGUACCUGGAGAAUAAGCCCCGGCUAACUUCGUGCCAGCAGCCGCGGUAAUACGAAGGGGGCUAGCGUUGUUCGGAAUUACUGGGCGUAAAGCGCACGUAGGCGGAUUUGUUAGUCAGGGGUGAAAUCCCGGGGCUCAACCUCGGAACUGCCUUUGAUACUGCAAGUCUAGAGUCCGGAAGAGGUGAGUGGAAUUCCUAGUGUAGAGGUGAAAUUCGUAGAUAUUAGGAAGAACACCAGUGGCGAAGGCGGCUCACUGGUCCGGUACUGACGCUGAGGUGCGAAAGCGUGGGGAGCAAA